CAUGUCCUUUUUAUGCCCCCAGUAGUGUGGCAUAUAGCAGUUGAACUGUCCGUCAGUCAGUGUGUCAGUCCGUUCUCACGAAUGAUACAUUGUGCAACUUUUUUUAUGCCUAGAUAUACAUUGUGUGUCUUAAUUUCAUUGUGGGACUAGUCGCACAAUACAUUUGCCCAAAGUUCGUCAAAAUGUGUCUUGUGCAACUUUAAACCUAUCUGGAGAAGUCGCACAACGUUUUUGUCCAAAAUGUGUCCAAAGGAUGUCCAUUUAAAACUGUCUAUGCGAUGGACGAGACCGUAACUUUUAUUUUUGCAAGUGUCCGUGAAAGUUUGAGCGUCUAUAUUUGAGGCAAUCAGAAGCCUGUUUAUAAAAAAGACGAGCCAAUGAACACCAGGCUUUCUAAUCGACGCAUGCGCUUGCACCUGCGUUCUCCCGCGUGAUGGACAUGUGGCUUUUGUGUGUAGUGGGACUGUUUUAAACGUCGCAGAAACCAACAUAACGGAUUUAUAUUUUAUAGAACCAUAUGUGAGAAUGUAGGUCAAGAUACAUCAACCACAGCCAGUAAAUAGGUGUGCUCAUCAUCAGGUCAAGAUACAUCGCCCACAGCUGGUCAAGAGGUGUGCUCAUCAGGAGGUCAAGAUUCAUCACCCACAGCCAGUCAAGAGGUUCGGUCUUCAGCACGUUAAGAAACAUCACCCACAGUCAGUCAAGAGGUUUGGCCAUCAGAACGUCAAGAUACAUUACCCACAGCCAGUCAAGAGGUUUGCUCAUCGGCAGGUCAAGAUACAUCACCCACAGCUAGUCAAGAGGUUUGGCCAUCAGCACAUAAAGAUACAUCCCCUACAGCCAGUCAAGAGGUUUGCUCAUCAGAACGUCAAGAUACAUCACACACAGUCAAUCAGGAGGUGAACCUUAGGAAACAACUGCAACAUUGAGCCAGGUGAUAAACUUGAAACCAAACAAGCUACAAUGGCUGUGUAGCCACCUGGGUCAUACAACGAGAGUGCGCUUUGACCACUACAGGCAAAUGUCUGGCUUCAUUGAAAGAGUCAAAAUCAGCAAAGUAUUGCUGAUGCAAGACAUGGACCUUACAGAAAAGUUUGUAGGAAAGAGCCUUGAUGAAAUUGGGAGCAUUCCUUUUAAAGACAUUUUAACAUCUGGUCCAGAGACAUGUUGUAAUGAAAAUAGAGCAGAAAGUCAAGCAGAAGUCGAUGCUGAGCACACAAGUCUUGAAUGUCAAGCAGAAGUCGAUGCUGAGCACACAAGUCUUGAUGCCCCAGAUGGCUAUGGAAGCAUGGACGAAGAUGACCACACUAUAUCAAAUGGGGAUGAAGAGGAAUUUGAGGGAAAGAGAAAAAGGAAGCCCCCCCCCCAAAAAGGCUGCAAACGUCAGAAAUUCACAGAGGUAGAAACGGAGGAAAUAAAAACUUACUUUAGUGAAUAUCUAAAAAGUGGAAUUUGUCCGCGGAAACAGCAGGUUGAAGAUGCCAAACAGAAAAGUCGUAAGAAAACUGGGCAAAUAUGGAAAAGGUCAAACGACAAGAUAAUUAAGAAAAUUAGUGCAAUGAAUCAUAAGAAAAAAUAAAAACAUGUUGUUUACUACCGGUACUCGGAUGGAACAUUAUAAGAAUACCUUCGAGGGACAUUGAAAAGUUCAUGCAACAGUGACUUGGCAAAUAUGGGUGAUGUUUGUAUGCAAGUGGUAAUUUUUGUGUGUGCAUUUUAUUUGUUGAAUUGAAACUUUACUAUGUAUAUGUCUAAAGGUGGAAAAGAAUCUGGUAUAUUAUCAAACGUUAAAAAUGCUAAUACAAAAGCGUAGAUACAAUAUUUUCCUUUUUGCUUCAUCGAUGCUUUUGGAAUGUACCUUAUUUAUUUUCUUAUAUACCUGAUUUCAGUUUACAAAUAAUUUAAGUAAAGUUUAAGGUAUAUAAUUAAAACACAUGUUAUGAACAUAAGGUCACAAAUAAAUUUUAGAAGCAAGCUCUAUUUGUAACUACUUAGGAAGAAACAUUUUUCCAAAUAGAUUCUUUUUUCUCCUGUGGUUUUUCUUAGAUUCACAACUUAUGUUAUUUAAAAAAAGAGAGAUUGUGUGUCCUUUCCAAAAGUUGCUUAUAAUAUGUAACUUAAGCUGCCAUAUGUAUGGUCCAAACUUGAAGAAAAUGUUUUGGCAAGACCAAUAUGGAAUCUGGGCCAUGUGGGUCCAAAAGCUAGAAUGUGUGCAAAAAUUUACAAAAAUAAUUGUAAAUAUGCUUGAAGACACAUUUUUGGUCCAUUUUUUUUCAAGAUAAUAUCAAGUUUGACAAAUCUUGAGGAAACUUUGUAAGAGUUGUCUAGACAUUUUUAGUUUGAAAUUGUUAGUUCAAAAUACAUUUGCACACACCCUAAGCAUGUUUUUUUGCUAUACAGUUACUGGUUUGUAAUGUUUUAAAAGGACAGGGCAGUUGAAUAAAACACUGACAAUUAGUUUUUUCUGAUGGGAAUGUUUACCAGUAUGAUUGGAAUAAUUUUGUCAUGCCGCUGGGAUUGAGCUCGUUUUAGUUGCCACAAUUACACUUGCGUGUCUGUAUAUAUGUUGGUUUAGGUUUUGGGUCAGGAUUGCUUGUCCAGAAUGUAUCGCCCUUAUGCAUUGACACUUUGUUUUUAAAUAACUUGGCAUAAUUGUUAAACACCAUGAGCCGGUGUGCAACACGAAAGAUCCAGGUCUCUAGCUCAAAGGUCAAGGUCACACUUCAAAUAUCGUCAAAUAUAGAUCCGUUGUAUGGGUUCUGCGAGUUUGACAGUCCCACUACACAAAAAAAAAACACAUGUCCAACACACGGGUGUACGUUAAUGCGGCGAUUAGAAAGCCUGGUGUUCAUUGGCUCGUCGUUUUCAUAAACAGGCUUCUGAUUGCCUCAGAUAUAGUCGCUCAAGUCGAUAUAAGAGUUCAAAGGUCAAAAAUUAGCAUUAUACACCUUGUCCGGUCUGUAUCUCCCUUAUGCAUUGACACUUUUUUUAAACAAAUAUUUCUUGUUGGUUUUUGUCAGGUUUUUUAAAUUAUUAUUUGUGUCUGUGUGCAAACAGGAUACCAACUUUGCUUUAUUGACACUGUGCUAGACAGGCAUCUAGUUCUAAAGUUCAUGUCAUGUGUGUGUAUAGGUAAAUGGAGAUAUAUUUUAUACAUAUUAACUGUCUAUACAUGUUGUAAAUAGGAUUUAUACCGAGUCUGUAGAAGAAAUACGACAUUCAAUUUCAAUAUUUGUUUGACUUUCCCUAGGUGUUGUUUAGCUCAACUUUUCAAAGAAAAUGAGAGCUAUUGUACCCACCGCGGCAUUUGCUGUGGUCAAAUUUUUAUAAAUCACAAAUAACUUUGGGAAAAUGUUAUUUGUAUUUGUCAAUGUUAGUUUUUCAUUACAAAAGCUUAAAUUACAAAACUUCAAUGUACUGAAAAGUAAGUGUAAUCUGAGAUUAUUAUACUCUGUAAUAACUUGAACAUAUUGAAAAUUAACAUGUGAUCUGAGCAAAUAUGUGACAAGUAUUCAGAAAAGUUGACCAGCGCUGUCCUCUGGCAGCCCUCGUUUUUAAUUGUUUUAUUUUGUUUCAUUUUGUUCUACUGCAGUAAAAUCCAUUUGCAAACAUAGUUAAAUCUGAUAUUUACUAAUUUUUACACUCUUCCUACAGAGACGGAUAUUUUAGUUGAAGAAUAAGGUCAUAUAUUUUUUUCAGUAACAAUUUCAUUAUAUCUUCCUUUGAUGACCCACAAUAAUUGAUAUUAGGUUCAUAUUAGUGACAUCCCACAACCAUUUUGUUAAUCUUAUGCUAUUGAAGUUUGUCCAGUAUGCCUGCAUUUUGUCAUUUACUGGUUUGCAAAAUUGUUUUGAAUAGACCAAUGAUGCACAUUACUUUUGAGCAUUUAUCUUGCAGGCAAAAUAUCCACUAUAUGUCUUAACAUACACCUCUGAAAAAUAAAAAAUGUGUAGUUUUAAGUCAUGUUGUGUAUUAUAUAUUAUGUACCUGAAUGUAUGUUGAAUUGGUGGGUAACCAUGGUCUUGGUGUGUGAUGCUUUACCGGGUAUGUGGUUUUGUAUGGCUGAAGUGAGAAAGAGAAGAAAUUACAUUAUAAAAUGUUGCCAUUUUUAAUGUGUGAAUCCAGUUAGUUGUGGUCAAGCGCAAUUUGAUGCACAAUGCGGAUCAUUUCAUUUAUAAUAUUUUUGAACAUGAUAAAGGAAAUUUAUGUCAAUAUUCCUUUUGCUUAAGUUUUGGGGAAAGUGAUUACAAUGGUUGAAAUUUUCUACAUUCAAAGAAUAGGUGUUGUAUUGUUUCUUAAGAGCACUAGCAUAGAUUGCAAAUACUUGAUUGUAUUUGUUUACAUUUAUAAAAGUAGGCAUUCGUGACAGUUAUUUGAUACGAUAUGUUUUUAUUAAACAUUUCUAACAUAUGUGUCAUUUGUUGGUACAUGUAUUUGUGUUAAAUACAUAGUUUUCCAGUGGAGUUGUAACUCUUUAUUUGACAUAAUAUGCUCCCGCAAUUUAUUUGGGUGAAAAGACACGCAGUGAUAUAGACACAGAAGUCUGAAAAACACACAAUGUAUCAUUCGUUAGAAACAAAAAUGAAAAGACCCACAAUACGAUUUUGAUAGUCCCACAAAUUAUUAGACACACAAUGUAUCAUUCGUGAGCCUGUCCGUCCGUCCGUCCGAAAACUUUAAUGGCCAUAACUUUUUCAAUACUGAACAUAGCAUUGUGGCAUACAUGUGCAUCUCAUGGAGCUGCACAUUUUGAGUGGUAAAAGGUGAAGGUCAAGGUCAUCCUUCAAGGUCAAAUGUCAAAUAUAUGGCGUCUGUCCGUCCGUCCGAAAACUUUAACAUUGGCCUUAACUUUUUUAAUAUUCAAGAUAGCAACAUGAUAUUUGGCAUGCAUGUGUAUCUCAUAAAGCUGAACAUUAUAAGUGGUGAAAGGUGAAGGUCAAGAUCAUCCUUCAAGGUCAAAUGUCAAAUAUAUGGUGUCUUUCCGUUCGUCCGAAAACUUUAACAUUUGCCAUAACUUUUUCAAUAUUUAAGAUAGCAACUUGAUAUUUUGCAUGCAUGUAUAUCUCAUGGAGCUGCACAUUUUGAGUAGUGAAAGGUGAAGGUCAAGGUCAUUUUAAGGUCAAAUGUCAAAUAUAUGGCGUCUGUCCGUCUGUCCGAAAACUUUAACAUUGGCCAUCACUUUUUCAAUAUUGAAGAUAGCAACUUGAUAUUUGGCAUGCAUGUGUAUCUCAUGGAGCUGCACAUUUUGAGUGGUGAAAGGUCAAGAUCAUCCUUCAAGGUCAAAGGUCAAAUAUAUGGCUUCAAAGUGGCGCAGUAGGGGGCAUUGUGUUUCUGACAAACACAUCUCUUGUUCUAAAUUGUUGCCUGUACAUAAUGUCUUCUGCUUAAGGUUAGACAAGGUCUGUGUGCACCAUCCCUAAUCCACCCCUAACAGCCCCUGCGCGUCUGUAACAAACUAUAUAUAUUUAUAUUUCAAUGUGUAUUCCAUAAGUUUUUUAAGAAUAUGCUGGAUGUUGUGCUGGUUUGUUUGCUAUAAAAAACUAUAUUUUUGUUGUUGACUUGUUACUGGAUUAAAAUUCUUGCUACAUAUUUGAUUUUUGAUUAUUGUGUAUUAAUAAUAGAAUUAAAAGUGAUGAUAAAUCAUAUAAAUAAUAGCAAUAUAACUUAUUCGAGUAGCUUUUUGUAUGGACUUUAUGUUAGGCCAUGCAUAUACAUGUUUUACUUAAUAAUUGUUGUUCACUUGAUCCUUGACAUCUGUUAGUGCAAAACAACUGCUGUCAACCACUUUUGUUUUGCAUGUCUGUUGUCAAGGUCUUUUAAUUCUAGCUGAAAAUCCAGGCCUAAAUGUUGGGGCACAGCACCCUGCAGCCCCAAGGUCCCACCCUGCCCUUUUGACUCCACCAUGAACAUACAUUUAAUGUGAAAUAUGAGCAGAAAUAGAACAUGCUAUAUUGAAAAAUGCCUCAAAAAUAAUAUGAUCAAAUGCGCUAAAGUGCACUUUUGAUCAAUUAGCACUUCUUGUUAUGUGUUAGUGUUUUAAUAAAUUGUACAUUUGAAUUGUGAUACAACUUGUUAAAUUUAUCCUUUAGUCAUAAUUUAGUGUUGUUGUAAUUAAGAAUUAAUGUAUCCAACAAAUAUGACUAUUGUCAGAUUAGUGUAGAUCUUUAAAUCAUUUAAAUUUUGUAUCAAGCUCAUUUUUAUGUGUUUAAUCAUAAAAUAAUAUUGUUAUAUAAUGUAUCAUGCCAUAUAUUUGGGAUUAUUUUAUUAAAGUAAUGUAAAGUUAAUUUAUUGAUGUAUUGAGUUCACAUAUUUUACAAUUGCAUUUAAAGAAAUAUGGACAAGAUGAUUGUGAAAUAUGAUAUUUUGUGACCUAUUAUGGACAUUUGGCUCAUGAUAUUGUUAAUUGUUGUUUUUUUAGAAGGUUAGGAUUAUGUGGUAUUUUGUGUAUAUUUAAAAAAAAAUACACCAGAUAGGUGUUAUAAUAGUAUUGUAUUCAUUUUAAUAAAACAGCUGUUUGACAAAGAUAAGAAUGAGGCGUGCUCUAAGAAAACGGGGCUAAAUGCAAGUGUGUAAAGUUUCCCUCACCCCUGUGACCAUUGCCACGAAAUCUCCAAUAUUGCUCACCGUAAUUACUCUGUUUUCGGACACUUAAAAAUAAUUAUUUAUUUUCUUGUCCGAAAAUUUAGAUAUGAAAAAUAUUCAAAAAUUAUGAGUGUCCGAAAAUUUAGAGACAUACAUGUUAUGGUAGUUUGUCAAUUAUUGUAAUGAAAUAAAACCAAUCAUAAAUGUG